rnacentral:rRNA from 1 species
AGGACGAACGCUGGCGGCGUGCUUAACACAUGCAAGUCGAGCGGAAAGGCCCUUCGGGGUACUCGAGCGGCGAACGGGUGAGUAACACGUGAGUAAUCUGCCCCUAGCUCUGGGAUAGCUCCGGGAAACCGGGAUUAAUACCGGAUACAACCACCUUAGACAUCUUUUGUGGUGGAAAGAAUUUCGGCUAGGGAUGAGCUCGCGGCCUAUCAGCUUGUUGGUGGGGUAACGCCUACCAAGGCGACGACGGGUA